rnacentral:rRNA from 1 species
AAAUUGAAGAGUUUGAUCAUGGCUCAGAUUGAACGCUGGCGGCAGGCCUAACACAUGCAAGUCGAACGGUAACAGGAAGAAGCUUGCUUCUUUGCUGACGAGUGGCGGACGGGUGAGUAAUGUCUGGGAAACUGCCUGAUGGAGGGGGAUAACUACUGGAAACGGUAGCUAAUACCGCAUAACGUCGCAAGACCAAAGAGGGGGACCUUCGGGCCUCUUGCCAUCGGAUGUGCCCAGAUGGGAUUAGCUAGUAGGUGGGGUAACGGCUCACCUAGGCGACGAUCCCUAGCUGGUCUGAGAGGAUGACCAGCCACACUGGAACUGAGACA